AUGGAACAUGAGGGAAAACUGAGUGCACAGAGAUUUCCUUGGUGAAUAGAUCGUUCUGGGUUGAGAAAAUAGGAGGUUAUUACAGUAAUACUGAUUGCGUUGUGUUACCUAUGACAAUAAUGUAGCACUUAGGCCUGAAAAUCUGAGCAUGGAUGCUGGUUCAGUAGAGGUCUACGUGAUGGAAGAGGAGGAGGAAGAAAACAAGCAGUAGCAGAAGACCCAGUAAGAAGCAGGAGGAAAGCCUUCAGACUCAUCAUCAUCCAGGACACACAUGAACAAGCCUUCAUGGAACUGUUGUACCAUUGUGAUGAAUUUCUCAAGGCAGCUGAUUUUCUGCAUCACCU